rfam:Rhodotorula sp. JG-1b unplaced genomic scaffold RHOSPscaffold_10, whole genome shotgun sequence.
GGCCGCGUGGCCCAAUGGCAAGGCGUUUGACUACGAUUUAUCGUACAUCAAGAGACUCUGGGUUCGAGCCCCAGCGUGGUCA